GAGUUUGAUCAUGGCUCAGGACGAACGCUGGCGGCGUGCCUAAAACAUGCAAGUCGAACGAGCCUUCGGCUAGUGGCGACGGCGGAGUAUACAUAAGCAACCUGCCCUGAAGACGGGGAUAUACGGGGGAAACCCCGGGUAAUACCCGAUGUGACUCCACGAGAGGCUAUCUACUCAGGAAUUAAACCGGUUUUCGCUUCAGGAGGGCUUAUGGAUGCAUCAGGUAGUUGGUGGGUAAAGGCCUACCAA
rnacentral:rRNA from 1 species